GUCCAGGGGCGGGAAUCGAACCCACGACCUUCCGCUUACCGGGCAGAUGCCAUGUCCACUAGGCUACCCUGGA
rnacentral:tRNA from 1 species